CACACUGGGACUGAGACACUGCCCAGACUCCUACGGGAGGCAGCAGUGGGGAAUAUUGGACAAUGGGCGCAAGCCUGAUCCAGCCAUGCCGCGUGCAGGAUGAAGGCCUUCGGGUUGUAAACUGCUUUUGUACGGAACGAAAAGGCUUUCUCUAAUAAAGGGGGCUCAUGACGGUACCGUAAGAAUAAGCACCGGCUAACUACGUGCCAGCAGCCGCGGUAAUACGUAGGGUGCAAGCGUUAAUCGGAAUUACUGGGCGUAAAGCGUGCGCAGGCGGUAAUGUAAGACAGAUGUGAAAUCCCCGGGCUCAACCUGGGAACUGCAUUUGUGACUGCAUUGCUGGAGUGCGGCAGAGGGGGAUGGAAUUCCGCGUGUAGCAGUGAAAUGCGUAGAGAUCUGGAGGAAUACCGAUGGCGAAGGCAGCCAUCUGGCCUAACACUGACGCUGAGGUGCGAAAGCAUGGGGAGCAAACAGGAUUAGAUACCCUGGUAGUCCAUGCCGUAAACGAUGUCUACUAGCCGUUGGGGCCUUUGAGGCUUUAGUGGCGCAGCUAACGCGAUAAGUAGACCGCCUGGGGAGUACGGUCGCAAGAUUAA
rnacentral:rRNA from 1 species